rnacentral:rRNA from 1 species
CCAAUAGCGUAUAUUAAAGUUGUUGCAGUUAAAAAGCUCGUAGUUGAAUUUCGGGGUCAGUAGAUUGGUCAUGCCACUGGUAUGUACUGGUCUCACUGAUUCCUCCUUCCUGAUGAGCCGUAAUGCCAUUAAUUUGGUGUUGCGAGGAAUCUGGACUGUUACUUGGCAAAAAUUAGAGUGUUUAAAGCAGGCUAACGCUUGAAUACAUUAGCAUGGAAUACUGAACUAGGACGUUCGAUCUUAUUUUGUUGGUUUCUAAGAUUGACGUAAUGAUUAAUAGGGAUAGUUGGGGGCAUUAGUAUUCAAUUGUCAGAGGUGAAAUUCUUGGAUUUAUUGAAGACUAACUACUGCGAAAGCAUUUGCCAAGGAUGUUUUCAUUAAUCAAGAACGAAAGUUAGGGGAUCGAAGACGAUCAGAUACCGUCGUAGUCUUAACCAUAAACUAUGCCGACUAGGGAUCGGAUGAUGUUAAUUUUUUAAUGACUCAUUCGGCGCCUUACG